rnacentral:lncRNA from 1 species
GGCGGUGCGACAACCUUGUAAGCCUUUGAAAAAUCGCUCAUAAAUUACCAUAUAUCAUUUUUCAGGAUAUUUGUCUUUAAAGUCAUUAAAUUAAGCAAAUUAACAUUGAUGUAGUAAAUACAAAUACUAAACUUUUUCCAUUUUAGAUAAACGUUUUUGAUUCUCAAAUCUGGAAUCCCAUUUUUUUCCCCGUGUGGGACAGUUUUGCCCUUGUAGUAUGGAACGCUUUUUUUUCUAUUACGUCAUCAUAACGUCAUUCAAAAAUGCAUAAGAGACUGCAAGAACCUUUCUGUUAAGUAAUGGAAAAAAACGUUUUUCAAAAUAUUAAAUAGUUUAGACGAAAAUCAUGGUUUAGUGGUUACAAUAAAUGGUAUAUGUUACGCG